GUCGUAACAUAGUAGACGUAAUGGAAAUUGCAUCUGUCAAAUUAUAGCAUAUAUUAAUGCCUUUUAUUUACACUAAAAAAAAAAUAUUUUUUAUUUAAUUUGA
rnacentral:tRNA from 1 species